GGGGAAUAUUGCACAAUGGGGGAAACCCUGAUGCAGCGACGCCGCGUGAGUGAAGAAGUAUUUCGGUAUGUAAAGCUCUAUCAGCAGGGAAGAAAAUGACGGUACCUGAGUAAGAAGCCCCGGCUAACUAC
rnacentral:rRNA from 1 species